rnacentral:rRNA from 1 species
GACGAACGCUGGCGGCGUGCUUAACACAUGCAAGUCGAACGGAAAGGCCCUGCUUUUGUGGGGUGCUCGAGUGGCGAACGGGUGAGUAACACGUGAGUAACCUGCCCUUGACUUUGGGAUAACUUCAGGAAACUGGGGCUAAUACCGGAUAGGAGCUCCUGCUGCAUGGUGGGGGUUGGAAAGUUUCGGCGGUUGGGGAUGGACUCGCGGCUUAUCAGCUUGUUGGUGGGGUAGUGGCUUACCAAGGCUUUGACGGGUAGCCGGCCUGAGAGGGUGACCGGCCACAUUGGGACUGAGAUACGGCCCAGACUCCUACGGGAGGCAGCAGUGGGGAAUAUUGCACAAUGGGCGGAAGCCUGAUGCAGCAACGCCGCGUGCGGGAUAACGGCCUUCGGGUUGUAAACCGCUUUCGCCUGUGACGAAGCGUGAGUGACGGUAAUGGGUAAAGAAGCACCGGCUAACUACG